rnacentral:rRNA from 1 species
UACGAAGGGGGGCUAGCGUUGCUCGGAAUCACUGGGCGUAAAGGGUGCGUAGGCGGGUCUUUAAGUCAGGGGUGAAAUCCUGGAGCUCAACUCCAGAACUGCCUUUGAUACUGAGGAUCUUGAGUUCGAGAGAGGUGAGUGGAACUGCGAGUGUAGAGGUGAAAUUCGUAGAUAUUCGCAAGAACACCAGUGGCGAAGGCGGCUCACUGGCCCGAUACUGACGCUGAGGCACGAAAGCGUGGGGAGCAAACAGG